rnacentral:tRNA from 1 species
GGGCGUGUGGUCUAGGGGUAUGGCGUCCGCUUCGCAUUAAUGCUCCGGCAGCAUCCUUGCGGAAGGUCCGGGGUUCAAUUCCCCGCUCGUCCA